rnacentral:rRNA from 1 species
AGGACGAACGCUGGCGGCGUGCUUAACACAUGCAAGUCGAGCGGUAAGGCCUCUUCGGGGGUACACGAGCGGCGAACGGGUGAGUAACACGUGAGCAAUCUGCCCUUCACUUCGGGAUAAGCCUCGGAAACGGGGUCUAAUACCGGAUAUGACCAUGCCAUGCAUGUGGUGUCGGUGGAAAGUUCUGGCGGUGAGGGAUGAGCUCGCGGCCUAUCAGCUUGGUUGGUGGGUAAUGGCCUACCGAAGGCUUCGGACGGGUAGCCGGCCGUGAGGAGGGUGACCGGCCGACACUGGGACUGACGACACGGCCCAGACGUCCGACGGGACGCGAGCGAGGUGGG